UGGUGGAGCAUGUGGUUUAAUUCGAAGCAACGCGAAGAACCUUACCAGGUCUUGACAUCCUUUGACCACUCUAGAGAUAGAGCUUUCCCCUUCGGGGGACAAAGUGACAGGUGGUGCAUGGUUGUCGUCAGCUCGUGUCGUGAGAUGUUGGGUUAAGUCCCGCAACGAGCGCAACCCUUGACCUUAGUUGCCAGCAUUCAGUUGGGCACUCUAAGGUGACUGCCGGUGACAAACCGGAGGAAGGUGGGGAUGACGUCAAAUCAUCAUGCCCCUUAUGACCUGGGCUACACACGUGGCUACAAUGGGA
rnacentral:rRNA from 2 species